ensembl:lincRNA
ACCUGCAUGACUUUUAAAAGAGGCCCCCAGGGCCACAGGGUAUAAAAGAUGGCUUUUGGUGACUUGCGUAAGGAUUUGCAUAUUGUUUGCAAGUCAUUGAAGGCAGGUGGGCAUGCAUCAUGAUCCAUAAUACUCUUGUGCUCCUUCCCCCAGCCUUCCUUGGCCUCUUCACCUGCACGUCCUCCUUGCUGGAACCCAGCCUGGAAAAAUGGUGAGUUGAGCUCCCCCUGGGGGGUUCCCAUGGCUGUCAGCUCCUUCCAGAGGCAUGUAUAGGGGUGAAUGUGGACCUGAAGAGAUCCUGGAACAUCGUACUGUCUGAUGGAUGGCAGGACUUAAGCGUCACUGAGCUUUCACACCUGAAAACUAUUAAAGAAGCUUUCCUAUCACCAUGCCCUGUGGGAUUGAGCAGGAUCUAGCUGAAUGUCAUUGAGCCAAAGAGAGAAGAGGCAGUCACUGAACAAGCCUUCCUGGAAACAGAGAUCUCCCUGGAUCCAAAGAUGGCAAUUCCCUGAUAACUCUCCAACGAGGCCAAGGCGACAGUUGGAGAUCUGUGUGCGCAAGCUUGGGGGUCAGAUCCUAGCUUCAGCACGCAGCAGCUGUGUGACUUCAGGGGAGCCCUGCACCUCCCUGAUUCUCAUUCACAGUGAUGAGUAGUAGCCCCUUCCCCCAGGGAUUUAGAUGUGCAGACUGUGCCUGAGAACUUGCCUGGCAUGUGCGACAACCAGAAAGCUCCCUCUUGCCUGGAAGCAGAAAGAAGAUUCCUCUGUGCUCCCACUCAGCCGGGUCAGUGGGAUACCCUCGGUGAGAAAAUUCUUCCUGGGUUUGGGCACGGUUUGCUCUGCCCACAGGUGGGCAGAUGCUCAAGCCUUUCACCUUGUGUUGGACAGCGAGCAGACCACUGCUCAGUGCAGGAGUUUGGGUUUCUCCUUCAUCACUGAGCCUUGCCUCCUUUUUUUUUUUUUUUUUUUUUUGAGGAGGAUGUGAUUGCUACUUUGUUUCUCUUUUUUUGUUACUUCAAAUUGACAUUCUGACCUUGGGCAGAGUGUAGCAGGGAGCUUGCCUUUAUUCUUAUCUUUUUGUUUUGUGUUUUUGUUGUAAACUGUCUAAAAGUGUUGGAGAGUUUUAUUUGGAUACAAUGAAGCCAGAUAUCAGAACACAAAUUUACCCUCAAGACUCUGAGCUUUUAAAAUGCAUAGAAAGGUCUGUUUUCUCUUCCUUUCUAAACUCAAUGCAAAUUUUUCUUCAGUAACUUGUUUUCCUAGCUUGAUAAGGUAUCAUUAGAGAAUGGAUGGUUCAAAAAAGAAGUGGUCUGAGGUAGGAGGAUCGCUUGAACCCAGGAAUUGGAGGCUGCAGUGAGCUAUGAUUGCACGACUGCACACCAGCCUGGAUGACAGAAUGAGGUAUCGUCUCUUAGAAAAGAAAAAAGAAGAAGUGGUAUGUGCUUUUUCCACUUUGAUUAAAAGAAAAAGCAUGGCAUGGGUGUCUGCUAAGAAGCAUGCUUCCUGCUUUGCCAGUGCUGCCAGUUAUUUGCGAGUGUCAGGGCUGAGUUUCUCUAGUUUCUUCAAUUUCAGACCCAAAUCAUGCCCAUUCUUAAAUGACAUUCGAAAAUACAAAUGUGAAACUUUAUAAAAGACUCAAAUGUGUGUUUGAUUGUAAUGAGUUUUUGUUUAAAUUGAAGGGAAAUUCAGUUGCGUUAAGUGGAAUAAAUUUUUUCUUGCACUUUCAGCCUGUUGGUUUCUGUUUUACUUGGGAGAAAGAGCUAUCUGCGUAGCCCCCAACAGGGGAAUCAUUUUCAUUAGACAUUUUCUCACUUGCUUUAGAUUAAAGAAGAAGUCUUGAAGCUCUAUAAGAAU